GAAUAUUCAAGCGGAGUUAAGCUGAAGCUAAAUAAUUCAAAAAAAAUUAUAUUUAGUUCAUUCAAGCCUUGUGAUCUUGCUUGUAGGUUUCACUUCUUACAUUUCUAUCAAGUGUUGAUGGAUACUGGAUUAUUCAUGACUGAGAUUUACAAGAUGCAUUGAUUAUAUGGUAAUGAACUAUUUGGACUAUCCUGUAAGAAAGUAAAGGAAAAACACCAGUUGGAUUGGUUUAUUGUUUCAGACAUUCUCACUCUAUAUGCGUUUAAUACAUUAUCUCGUGUACAAGCGAAGAGCCGUGAAGGCCUGAACAAACACACGUGCACUGAGUGAGGCAAAAGUUUGUGUGAAGCAGCCAUUAGCCGUCUGGUCAGAUCAGAGCAAGAUGUAAACCCACCUUGCAUUUCUGAUGCAUGAUGGAUUAAUUUGGCUGCAGUGCUUCCUUAAACUUCCCAUUCUAACCUAACUUGUUUUUUUAUGAAAGUCCAUCCAGCAUAGGGAGCUAGUUAUUGAGCAAACACCAGAAUUUUCAGGUCCAGAAAUUAAACCACUGUGAACUGCUAGAUGACAGAUCAAACUGGCUACCUGAAUGAAAACUGCACCAUUGAUUGGGUGAUGCCAAUGAGCCAUCUGUGUAUUCAUCACUGUUGAGGAGUUCAUGCCCUUCAUCCCCAGAGUGCUCAAUGUCCCUGCUCUUAUUGUUUUGUGAACACAUGAAUUCUGUGUUGUUUAGUCCCUGUUGUGCUUCAGGAUCAUUAUUGAUGUUUCCAUUGUUUGUAGCAAUGAGAGUGUUGCUCCCUUCUAAACCCUUGCAAGUCAUAUUCCCAUCACAAGGUUGAUCCAAUAGUUCAUUUAGCUUCUGCAACUGUAUGAGCAAAGACUGUCUUUCAUUCUUCAAGGACUCAAAACAGGAUGCUAAUUUGUCAUAAUUAGCUCUUAAUGUCUUGUACUCUUGCUCAAUCUGCUUUGACUUCCAUCUAGCUCUUCUAUUCUGGAACCAUAUAGCAAUCUGGCGAGGUUGAAGCCCAAGCUCUCUGGACAGUUGCAAUUUCUUCCUGGGCUCGAGCUUGGUCUCUGAUUCAAAAAUUGACUCUAGUAAUCUGAUCUGUUCAUCACUAAAUCUCCUCUUGUUCUUGGUGAUGUUCUUCUUCUUUCUUGGGGCUUGGGAGAGCUGUGGGCAAGCAAAGUUUUCUGAUCUUUCAUCUGGUGCCUCUGGAGAAUACCCUCUUCCAUCUAUUUGAUUACUCAUGUUUUGGUGGGAAAUUCUAUUUAUUGAACUCUCAACAAGAAGUGGCUUUUGUUGUUCCUUAUAUUCUAGUCUUAAAUGCU
rnacentral:misc_RNA from 1 species